AUCGCUUCUCGGCCUUUUGGCUCAGAUCAGUGUAGUAUCUGUUCUUAUCAGUUUAAUAUCUGAUACGUCCCCCAUAGGGGGACUACAUAUUAAAUGGAUUUUUCGAACAGGGAGUCGGAAAUGGGGCUUGCUCCGUCCGCUCCACGCAUCGACCCGGUAUUGCAGUACCUCCGGGAACGGUGCAACACUU
rnacentral:snRNA from 1 species